UACGUAGGGGGCGAGCGUUAUUCGGAAUUAUUGGGCGUAAAGGGCGCGUAGGCGGCUCGAUGUGUCCCAGGUGAAAUCCCUCGGCUCAACUGAGGAACUGCCUUGGAAACUGUCGAGCUUGAGGCCGGGAGGGGGUAGCGGAAUUCCCAGUGUAGCGGUGAAAUGCGUAGAUAUCUGGAGGAACACCGGUGGCGAAGGCGGCAUCCUGGACCAUUACUGACACUGAAAAGCGAAAGCCAGGGGAGCAAACGGG
rnacentral:rRNA from 1 species